GUACAUCAGCGGCAGACGGGUGAGUAACACGUAUGUGACCUAGCCUACAGAUGGGGAUAAGGGGAUGGAAACAUGCGCUAAUACCCAAUGGUCCUGUAGAGUCAAAUCUAUAGGUAAAGCUUCGGCACUUUAGGAUUGGGCUGCUGCCCAUCAGCUAGUUGGUAUGGUAACGUGUCUACCAAGGUAAAGACGGGUAUGGGGUGUGAGAUCAUGACCCCCCACAAUGGGACUGAGACACGGGCCAUACUCCUACGGGAGGCAGCAGCAGGGAAUAUUGCACAAUGGACGGAAGUCUGAUGCAGCGACGCCGCGUGGAUGAUGAAGUGCCCUCGGGUCGGUAGAAUCCUUUUCAGGAGGAAGAGGAAGGACGGUACCCCUUGGAAUAAGCGUCGUGUAACUACGUGCCAGCAGUCGCGGUAAUACGUAGGACGCAAGCGUUAUCCGGAUUUACUGGGCGUAAACGCGUCUGUAGGCUGAUCGAUAAGUUGGGCGUGAAAGCUCCGUGCUUAACGCGGAGAGGUCGUUCAAGACUGUCGAACUAGAGGGCACCAUAGGAGCAUGGAAUUUCCGGUGUAGCGGUAAAAUGCGCAGAUAUCGGAAGGAACACCAGUGGCGAAGGCGGUGCUCUGGGGUGUACCUGACGCUGA
rnacentral:rRNA from 1 species